GCUCCCGGGAUAAAGACACCCCAAUCAUUCUCUUGGAUGCAUCCUCAGACUUUGAGCCCACCGAUGAGAGGCCAGUGAAGAACAAAACCAGGAGACGUCAUCACAAGAGGACUGAAACUACAAAAGAGGAUCCCCCAAAGAAAUCUUCUGAUUCAGAUGCAGGCACCUACUGACUCAGUCCAGGAAACUCAUGAAAGCACAGGGGAACCAACCAGGCAAUCAAGACCAGCCCCUUGUGAGAUUAGUGACAUCAAAGUCCUGCCUUCACUUUCUAAUGAUUGUUUAAUGCUUGCGUCAAAUGAACAUGGAGACCAGUGCAGUUAUGAGGUGGAUUCCCCAAUUGCCCUUGCCAUCCAUGCGUCUCUCGAAGACUUUGAAGUACAGUUUGGAGGUGUUUGUGCUGGUGAUGAUGGUGAUGCUGGUGAUGAAGACUCCACCCUUCCUUGGAAUCAUUGUGACCUCAACAGUAUGCAGGUAUAGUGUUUCACUGUAUGAGGAGGAAUUACUCGACCUCUUCUCACGAAUGGGCGCACACUGCCUGCCCUGUAAAGAGAACCUAAAGGCUACCAUUGUAACAAUGGCACACAAAGCUCUUCUUCAAGAGCCGAAAUUUAUAAUUGAUUGUUUCCAGUCCAAUAUUCACACUGCUUUGCCAACUCCCAUAACCAAAGGCCGCCUAAUGGAACUCUAUGAGUCUAAGAGACCAACCAACAGGAAAGUGGCACAGAUGAUUAAACCGUCAAAUGAAAGCUUAAGUACACAGGAGCAGGCAGCCCUCAACCACCUACUACGAUAUGUCAGAAGCAUUGACCAAAAGAAGCUAGAGACCUUUUUGCGCUUCUGCACAGGGUCCACUGUGCUGUGCAAAGACAAAAUUGAAGUAACUUUUAAUAAAUUGUGUGGUUUAAGUCGCAGGCCUGUUGCACACACUUGUGGAGCAGUACUUGAAUUACCAUGCACCUACAGCACAUACCCCGAAUUCUGAACAGAAUUUGACUGUGUAUUGUCUGGUGAUUGUUUCACAAUGGAUAUUGUGUAGACUCUAAAAAGUGAACCUUAAAAAGAAGUUGAAACAUGAGAUAUCUAUUGACAAUCAAAUGUUUGUUGUUGGGUUGUUGUAAUGGAUGUAAUAAAUGUGACACUUUUACAUAUUUGUUAUUAAGCAUCAAUGCUUGUUAUGUAAUGUACUGACACAGGAGUUUUUGCAGAUUUGCCUUUAGCAGUUAAAUACACUACACACUGUUGCUGUUCAUGAAUGUUUGGAAAGUAAUUAUUAAGAUACAUGUUUGUUAUGUUAUAUUUAUGUUAUGCCUUUUCAGGGAAGCUGUUAUUACUGUACAAUACUGCAGAAUAUAGCACAUUCACCUGUUUCACAUUUUAAUGGCAAAUACCAAUGGCUGUUUUUGUUGAAGCCUCACAUGGGAAACACUCAAAAUGUCCAAGUAAAUGAAAAUUACAAUUUCUUCA